rnacentral:rRNA from 1 species
AACGAACGCUGGCGGCGUGCCUAACACAUGCAAGUCGAGCGCGAAAAGGGCAACCUGAGUAGAGCGGCGCACGGGUGCGUAACACGUGGGUAAUCUGCCCUGAAGUCUGGGAUAAUUUUCCGAAAGGUUGGCUAAUACCGGGUAAGCUCACGGGGACUUUGGUUCCUGGGAGAAAAGUGGACCUCUAUUCAUAAGUUCACACUUGAGGAUGAGCCCGCGGCCCAUCAGCUCGUUGGCGGGGUAACGGCCCACCAAGGCAACGACGGGUAGCUGGUCUGAGAGGACGAUCAGCCACACUGGAACUGAGACACGGUCCAGACUCCUACGGGAGGCAGCAGUGAGGAAUAUUGGUCAAUGGGAGCAAUCCUGAACCAGCAAUGCCGCGUGUGGGAUGACAGGGCUUCGCCUUGUAAACCACUGUCGGACGGGACGAAAGGAGGCCUCGGGCCUCUGGGACGGUACCGUCAAAGGAAGGUCGGCUAACUACGUGCCAGCAGCCGCGGUAAU